AUGAACGCUGGCGGCGUGCCUCAUACAUGCAAGUCGAGCGAACGGACGAGAAGCUUGCUUCUCUGAUGUUAGCGGCGGACGGGUGAGUAACACGUGGAUAACCUACCUAUAAGACUGGGAUAACUUCGGGAAACCGGAGCUAAUACCGGAUAAUAUUUUGAACCGCAUGGUUCAAAAGUGAAAGACGGUCUUGCUGUCACUUAUAGAUGGAUCCGCGCUGCAUUAGCUAGUUGGUAAGGUAACGGCUUACCAAGGCAACGAUGCAUAGCCGACCUGAGAGGGUAAUCGGCCACACUGGAACUGAGACACGGUCCAGACUCCUACGGGAGGCAGCAGUAGGGAAUCUUCCGCAAUGGGCGAAAGCCUGACGGAGCAACGCCGCGUGAGUGAUGAAGGUCUUCGGAUCGUAAAACUCUGUUAUUAGGGAAGAACAUAUGUGUAAGUAACUGUGCACAUCUUGACGGUACCUAAUCAGAAAGCCACGGCUAACUACGUG
rnacentral:rRNA from 1 species